GGAUGUGAGGGCGAUCUGGCUGAGACAUCUGUCACGCCAUUGAUCACCAGGGUUGAUUCGGCUGAUCUGGCUGGCUAGGCGGGUGUCCCCUUCCUCCCUCACCGCUCCAUGUGCGUCCCUCCCGAAGCUGCGCGCUCGGUCGAAGAGGACGACCUUCCCCGAUAGAGGAGAGGACCGAUCUCCAGUCAAGGGUAUACAAGUAGCUGCGCUCCCCUGCUAGAACCUCCAAACAAGCUCUCAAGAUUUGCUUUGUUACAUGUGGUUGACUUCAGGAAGUUUGAAAGUCAAUUGCAUUUCUGUAUAACACUAAAAAUUAUAUAAAAAUGAUAUCAUUAUAGUACAUUU
rnacentral:snRNA from 1 species